GUCGGUGAUGCCAUCCAACCAUCUCAUCCUCUGUUGUCUCUGUUGUCUCCUCCCAACCAGCUCACAAAGGUUCCAGAAGUUUAUCAGCUGGCUCUUGUGACUGGCAGGAGUCAAGUCCAGCAGACCUGUGCUUGUAGCAGUACAGUCUUGGAUCUCUGUGUUCACAAAGCAGAGCAGGGGCAGACUGGGACGGAGGACUGCCUUCGGGUUUUCUCCCACAGACGGAAAUUCAAAGCCAACAGGCCUCUCCCCGAGAGACUGCAGACCCAGGCCAAGGUUCCCAGGAAAUGGCCAGCUCACCCUGUCUGACAAGUGACCUCUCCUGACAAGUGGCCAAUUGAGUUUCAAAACAACAGUGCCACUGACUAAAAGAAAAUUGCCUCUUUAAAAAAAAAUUGUAUUUAUUUAUUUUUGGCUGUGCUGGGUCUUCGUUGCUGUGAGGGCUUUUCUCUAGUCGUUACAAGUGAGGGCUACUCUUUAACUGUCAUAUGCAGGCUUCUCAUGGCAGCGGCUUCUCUUGGGUGGAGCAUGUGCUCUGGGCAUGGGGGCUUUAGUAGUUGUGGCCUGGGGCUCAGUAGUUGCCGUUCCCGGGCUUUAGAGCCCAGACUUAAAUAGUUGUGGUACAUGGGCUUGUGGAGUUAGUUGCUCUGGGGCAUGUGGAGUCUUUAGUGUCAGAGGUCAAACCCAAGUCUCCUGCAUUGGUAGGCAGACUUACACUGAGCCACCAGGGAAGGCCAAAAUUGCCUCUUCUUAAAGAACGCAAGGUGGUUCAUAGGUGGAUCAGAGUUCCACUCUUCAGAUGCAGGAAUAUGGGGGACACUCAUACUCAUUCCACAGAACAGGAUAUCUGGGUCACCCCUUCCCAGAGGGGCUGACGCAUGCGUAUGCUCUGCUUACGCUCGAGGGAAUUGGUAGCUGGAGGUAGUGCAGGACCCGCCGUACUGGGCAUGCUUUC
rnacentral:lncRNA from 1 species